rnacentral:snRNA from 1 species
GUGCUUGCUCCGGCAGCACGUAUACUAAAAUCGGAACAAUAAAGAAAUUAGCAUGGGCCCUGCACAAGGAUGACACACAAAUUCGUGAAGCGUUCCACAAUCAA